CCUACGGGAGGCAGCAGUGAGGAAUAUUGGUCAAUGGACGAGAGUCUGAACCAGCCAAGUAGCGUGAAGGAUGACUGCCCUAUGGGUUGUAAACUUCUUUUAUAUGGGAAUAAAAUGUUCCACGUGUGGGAUUUUGUAUGUACCAUAUGAAUAAGGAUCGGCUAACUCCGUGCCAGCAGCCGCGGUAAUACGGAGGAUCCGAGCGUUAUCCGGAUUUAUUGGGUUUAAAGGGAGCGUAGGUGGAUUGUUAAGUCAGUUGUGAAAGUUUGCGGCUCAACCGUAAAAUUGCAGUUGAAACUGGCAGUCUUGAGUACAGUAGAGGUGGGCGGAAUUCGUGGUGUAGCGGUGAAAUGCUUAGAUAUCACGAAUAACUCCGAUUGCGAAGGCAGUUCACUGGACUGCAACUGACACUGAGGCUCGAAAGUGUGGGUAUCAAACAGGAUUAGAUACCCGAGUAGUC
rnacentral:rRNA from 1 species